rnacentral:lncRNA from 7 species
AUAAUAUCUGAGUAUACUUUAUAAUCAGCAGACACCAGGAUGUGGCUGUGGAUGUGUGUUGCUGUAACAACAGGACUGAGAGCUCUGGAGGUGUGUGCUGUCCCCAGUGUUUUACAAAGGAGGAAAAUUAUUUGGAGCUCCACCCGGCCUUAAUGAAGACGUGUAACCCCAUGAGUUGGCUCCUGCUCCAUGCAUGCAAGAAGAGAGCUGUGCUUUGGAGGGAGCAGCUUCUUGUAGGUCGUGAUCUCGACGUCCAGGGCCAGCUUGAUGUUCAUCAGCUCCUGGAACUCCCACAGCUGCCGGGCCAGGUCCUGCUUCGCCUUCUGCAGAGCUGCCUCCAGCUCGACUAUCAGCAUUUCUGCCUGCAGUAACUUGCAACUCCUUGAACUGCGAAAGCCCCAAAGAUGUGGGUUGUGCGUCCCCAAAAGCAUGUGCUUUGAGUUAAAUCAGAGCAACUCUGGGUUUUCAGAGGAAAGAUGCACCCACAUCCUCCUUCUGGCUGCUUUUCUCACCUUGCCUUUACACCAGGCUUCAGUUUCUGCCCUGCUCCUGCAGGCAGUGUCCUCAUAGUGAGCCUUGACGUUGGCAACAAUGCCAUCCAGGUUGGGAUCCCAGCUGUUGUCCAUCUGCACAACCACUGCCGUGUCUGAGAUGUGGGCCCGCAGCUGUUGGCUCUCCUGGAGGUGGCAGUGAGAUGCUGGCACUGUGAUCCCAUCCAACCCCACUCGCACACUUGGUCCCCCCUUUGCAGUGACAGCAUGGGGGUGGAUUGUUGGUCCCCCGUUCACCAUAAGGGCUGACCAUUGCCCCACAUUACCCAUUCUUCCCCUCUCCUUCAGGAUAGGCCUUCCAGAUCUGCCUGAGAAAUGCAGAGCUGAAGCAACAGGGAGCUGCUUACCUCCUCGUAGAGCACCCUGAGGAAGCCAAACUCUCCUUCCAUCCUUCCCACCUUGGCCCCCAGCUCUGCUUUGUUUAAGAAAAAGCAUUCCACGUCCUGAAGUGGCAGUGGGGAGAGAAGGAGGAAGUUGAUUAGAGGAAGCUGAUUAGUGAGAGCCGACUCGGGGCUGCCCUUGGGGUGGGGGACUUUGGGUGCAGGUAGUGUGGCUGCACGCCAGCUCCCGCUUGCACAACUGCUGCUGGUCUGAGUUCAAGCACACCUGAGCACCAGCUCCUGCUGGUACUUGUUCUGUGCGAUGCUUUGUGGAGAGAAAUCACUGCCUGCAUGCACCCCAAAGACCUGGACACAGCAGGAGGGUUCAAAUGGCCUUAGCUCACCUUCUUCAGGGCAAUCAACUCCUUCUCAGUGCUGCUCCGCCGGCUGCGUUCAUCCUCAUAUCUGUGUGGGAAAAUGGGAAACUUCAAGCUCAGCACAAUUACAUCUUUGUUUGCGAUUCUGCAGCCUUACUCCAAGAAAUGGAACUCCUCCUAUUUAUUUUUUUUUCCCCUUUUCCCCAGAUGAUAUUAAGGGAUGUUUUGUUCUUGUUCCGUAGCCCAUGGGAAAGCAGGCUUGCUUUCAGAGAGCAGCAGAACUGUUCUGAUUUGACUUCUGCACCAGAGAUCAGAGGACAGCUUGGAAUUGCUGUAAGUGUUAAUUCCUUGUGUUAGGAAAGAGUGGGAGAAUCUAGAGGAGAUGCCUCCUCUGUUUGGUCCACCUCCAUAAGCUGGGACAUGGUUUUAUGAUCCUGUUCUUUGGGGACCGUUUAUUAUAUCAAAAUGUUCUCACUUACAUUUUCUUAUUGGUUUCCAAAGCCUCUUGGACUGCUUUCAGUUGUGUUUCUAACCGGGCUCUGUUGCACCCCAGUGCUUCCAACUGCUUCUUCAAGUUCCCAAUACAAGCCUCCAACAUGGGCACGAUGGUGUUCCUGCCAUGUUUCUGACCCUUCAGAAAGCUCCACUUGGUCUCCAGCACCUCGUUCUGCUGCUCCAGUAAUCGCACCUGAAUCCCAGAGAGCAAAAUAGGAAAUGAGAUGAGGGUUAAGUGGCUGUGAGAGGUGAUGUCCAUGCAACAGCCAUAAAGUGCAGCCCUUAGUACACCUGAAUACAGUGUUUCCUGCUCCACUGUUCUUUUGUGCAUAUGGUUUUUGUGGGUAAGCCUUGUGGAAAUGCAUAAAACCCGUAACACGUCUAGAAAAGAACACCUUGGUGCUCAACUGACAUUCUGAAGUUGUCCUCAAUGUCUAAAACAGAGCUGUAUUUCCAGGAUUCCUCACCCUUUCCAUGCUAGACCUCCCUGGGACUGGAGCUGUGGGGGGGUUUCUCUGCUCACCUUCUCGAUGAAAGAAGCAAAUUUGUUGUUGAGGGUCUUGAUCUGCUCCUUCUCUUGGUACUUCAUGGUCUGCACGUUGGGGUCGAGCUCCAGUUGGAGUGGUUGUAGCAGUUUCUCAUUGACAGUGAUGGGUACGAUGGUGCACGGCCUGGAGGAUCCACCAACCCUGUAGCCAAAGCCAGCACCUCUGCAGCCCAAUCCUGCUCCAGCAGCACCUAAACCAUAUCCACAUCUCAUAGGAGGAUACCUUCCUACAGCUAUUCUGGGCCUGGAGGAUGCCACACCGCUGAGGCUCCUGGUGCUGAAGGAACCCAACCCGCGCUGGCGACACAAGACUCUACCAAAGCUUUGCCCAUUCCUGGAGAGAGCAACAGAGGAUGAGCUGAAAUUGCCAACGCGGCCAACAUUGGUGCCAUAGGAGCAGGACAUGGCUGCUGGUGGGGAGGGCUAGGUGCAGGUGGUGUGCUGGGCCCCAGUGCAGUUCCCUCUGCCUCCAGUGCAGCACCUUCUUCCUUU